rnacentral:rRNA from 1 species
AGUGAACGCUGGCGGUAGGCCUAACACAUGCAAGUCGAACGGCAGCACAGUAAGAGCUUGCUCUUACGGGUGGCGAGUGGCGGACGGGUGAGGAAUACAUCGGAAUCUACUUUUUCGUGGGGGAUAACGUAGGGAAACUUACGCUAAUACCGCAUACGGCCUACGGGUGAAAGCAGGGGAUCUUCGGACCUUGCGCGAUUGAAUGAGCCGAUGUCGGAUUAGCUAGUUGGCGGGGGAAAGGCCCACCAAGGCGACGAUCCGUAGCUGGUCUGAGAGGAUGAUCAGACACACUGGAACUGAGACACGGUCCAGACUCCUACGGGAGGCAGCAGUGGGGAAUAUUGGACAAUGGGCGCAAGCCUGAUCCAGCCAUACCGCGUGGGUGAAGAAGGCCUUCGGGUUGUAAAGCCCUUUUGUUGGGAAAGAAAAGCAGCAGGUUAAUACCCCGCUGUUCUGACGGUACCCAAAGAAUAAGCACCGGCUAACUUCGUG